rnacentral:lncRNA from 1 species
UGUGAUGGUCUUAAUAUAUUAAAACUGUUCAGUUAGCCACGGUUGAACGAAGGCUACAAUUCAUUUAAGUAUGUUGAUAAUGAACUAAAUCAAGAAAGUACUAUAUUCACUUAUUAAGAAACAUAGACACAGUUUUUCUCUUGCCCCAAGCUGUGUAUGCUUAAACUUUAACUUUUUACAGAUGAAAAGCAAAGGGAAGAACAUUCAAAUUUGAGUUGCUGAUAAUUUGAAAUUAUUGGAUCAUUUAUGUCCUUGAGGCUUUAGUUGACAAACGGUUAAACUGAGAGGCUUCAACUUGUAGUGGCACUCUGCUUUGCUUGGAUUCUUAUGCCCUUUUGAACUCUUAGAAGGUCGAGCAACUUUUUAUAUCAAUGGCUCCUCCUUCCCCAAGAAUUAAUCAAAUAGGGAGGGUGAACCAAAAUGAACGGUUGAGUUAAUAUCAAGUAGAGUGGUUAAAAAAUUAGGCCAAAACAGAAUGCUCCCAUGGCAUCUAAGAUAUAAUUGUAAAUAUGGCCCUUAUGCUCUCUUCUGCUCUACAUUUCAAGGGCUGCAAAAGGUUCUUCAAAGGUUCUGAACAGCUUCUUGGGCAGCUUUGACAGCUUGAUUAUUCAUACCAAUAAUGCAUCCUGAUUUCUUCAUCUACUAGACUUCUGAUCUUCAACCCACCUGUAUAUCUCAUUAGCUCGAUCCUUUAAAUAAAAAACCAAAUGCAACAUAAGAGGAUUAAAAUAUUGGUGUCUACUCCAAUGAAGAUUUAAUGAUUGUCAUCAUGUGAAGAUACAUCAUUUUGACCAUUAGAUUAUAGAUUGUAGGACUUGAUUUUUAUUUGAAGUAAAAGUAUUACUUUUAUUUAAAGUGUUGCUAAACAAGUAAGUUACACUUUUUAAACAAGGAUCAUCAUGAAAAGAUAUUUUUGGCAUCUUCAUGGGAGUAGUUGCCUAAAAUAUUUAUUAACUUAACACAGAGCUUGAAACCUGAGGUUCUUGACAAACAAAACAUAAACAAUUAAAUACGACUAUCAUGGUAAAAAUGACACAUGAAAUAACACACUACUCACAGAAUGUGUUUUUCAACGUUAAAUAUGAAUUAUACAUGCAAAGAAAGGCAUAAUACAGAGAUUUAGUAAUAAUCCAGAGUUCAGAAAAGCAUAAUCAUCCAAGAAACCAGGUGUUUUAGAUGGAGAAUUUCUCAAACUAUGGUUCAGCCUUUGGGUUUCAGCAUUGUGAAGUUGCUUCCUAAUAAAUAAUGCUGCUUUUUCAGAGCAAGAAUGUUUUUUGGUAUGUUUCUAAUUGCUUACACAAACUACAUUAGCCAAUUCUACUUUUACUUCUAUAUCCAUCAUCUAUAAAAAAACCCGAUUAUGAAACCUCUAAAUUUACACAUUACUUAAAAAUCCAUUGGAUGAUUAAAAUUACCAGCAGAAUGCACAGAUGAUAUUUAUAUGUUGUUGUUAUCUGAGAAGCAGAUGAAUAAGAAUCUUUAUCCGUAACUCCCAAACAAGCCCCAGCUGAAAGAUCUCUAGAAAUAACACACCAAGACCAUCAAACCUUAAAGCAGAAAUUGAUAAAUUAAAACCAAGUUAUGUAGAGGAAAUGCAACAUACCAAGAGGAAUUGUAGUCAAGGUUCAAUCACUAACAAAUUCAAGGUUCAAUCACUAACAAAUUCAACUCAGUGAUGAUUUUCAACAAAAAAAAAAAAAGAUUUAGCUAAUUAUUUGAGUAAGACAGCAACAAAAUCAAAGUUCAGUAACGAUAAUUAGGAACCAAUUCAUCUCAGUGAUGAUUCUCAGCAACAAAAAAUCUAGCUCAAUGAUAUUUUCAACAACAAAUUAUGGAUGGUUCAGUGAUAAUCAGUAACAAAUUCAUGUCGGUGAUUAUUUUCAGCAACAAAAAGAGUAGUUCAGUGAUAUUUUCAGCAGCAAAAUCAAACACAGCAACAAACAGAAAAAGAAAGAACAGGGGAAUUUGUUGGGACUCACCAAAUCGGGACCAGCUUCUGGUUGCGCGAAGGAAGCUGACAGCGAGAGUUGCUGACAGCGAGGAGGAAGCCCUGGGACCUGCUGCUUCUGCUGCCGGCAACAAGCGCAACGAAGGUGCGGGACUGACUGCAAGAGGGUGACGAGACAGGGAGAGACGAUGACGACCAGUCCCAGGAUCUGCUGCUUCUGCUGUCGGCGACGACGACGGCAGGGAAGGCGAGCGAGCGAGACUGAGUGGGAGACCAGAGACUGUGAGAGAGACCGGAGCCGAGAGAGCGACGACGAGCUUGAGUGCCAGUCCGGAGACAGUGAGGGAGACCGGAGACGAGAGAAGGAGAGAGCUUGCGUGCGAGGGCAAUGAGCCACAGCGAGAGAGAUGAGAGAGCUCGAGAGCUUCAGUGAAGAGUGACGUUAAGGGAGGAGAAGGUAGAGUUUAGGAUUGCUGAACGACGUCGUAUCAGCAAUUAAAAAAAAUGAACCGGUUCGGUUUAUGUGAACCAAACAGGGUCAAACUGAGUUUUUAAACCGAGUUUACAGAAUAAUUUAUUAACCGAUUUUUUAAAUACAACCAAUUAAAAUGUAACAUGUCAACAACUUUAAAAAAGAUGUUUGUAACAUGUUUA